rnacentral:rRNA from 1 species
GAUGAACGCUGGCGGCGUGCCUAAUACAUGCAAGUCGAGCGAACGGACGAGAAGCUUGCUUCUCUGAUGUUAGCGGCGGACGGGUGAGUAACACGUGGAUAACCUACCUAUAAGACUGGGAUAACUUCGGGAAACCGGAGCUAAUACCGGAUAAUAUUUUGAACCGCAUGGUUCAAAAGUGAAAGACGGUCUUGCUGUCACUUAUAGAUGGAUCCGCGCUGCAUUAGCUAGUUGGUAAGGUAACGGCUUACCAAGGCAACGAUGCAUAGCCGACCUGAGAGGGUGAUCGGCUACACUGGAAGUGAGACACGGUCCAGACUCCUACGGGAGGCAGCAGUAGGGAAUCUUACGCAAUGGGCGAAAGCCUGACGGAGCAACGCCGCGUGAGUGAUGAAGGUCUUCGGAUCGUAAAACUCUGUUAUUAGGGAAGAACAUAUGUGUAAGUAACUGUGCACAUCUUGACGGUACCUAAUCAGAAAGCCACGGCUAACUACGUG